CCUUGACUCUGGGAUAAGCCUGGGAAACUGGGUCUAAUACCGGAUACGACCAUUGCCCGCAUGGGUUGGUGGUGGAAAGCUUUUGUGGUUUUGGAUGGACUCGCGGCCUAUCAGCUUGUUGGUGAGGUAAUGGCUCACCAAGGCGACAACGGGUAGCCGGCCUGAGAGGGUGACCGGCCACACUGGGACUGAGACACGGCCCAAACUCCUACGGGAGGCAGCAGUGGGGAAUAUUGCACAAUGGGCGAAAGCCUGAUGCAGCGACCCCGCGUGAGGGAUGACGGCCUUCGGGUUGUAAACCUCUUUCAGUAGGGAAGAAGCGAGAGUGACGGUACCUGCAGAAGAAGCGCCGGCUAACUACGUGCCAGCAGCCGCGGUAAUACGUAGGGCGCAAGCGUUAUCCGGAAUUAUUGGGCGUAAAGAGCUCGUAGGCGGUUUGUCGCGUCUGCUGUGAAAGGCCAGGGCUCAACCCUGGUUCUGCAGUGGGUACGGGCAGACUUGAGUGAUGUAGGGGAGACUGGAAUUCCUGGUGUAGCGGUGAAAUGCGCAGAUAUCAGGAGGAACACCGAUGGCGAAGGCAGGUCUCUGGGCAUUAACUGACGCUGAGGAGCGAAAGCAUGGGGAGCGAACAGGAUUAGAUACCCUGGUAGUCCAUGC
rnacentral:rRNA from 1 species